CUGGCGGCAGGCCUAACACAUGCAAGUCGAGCGCACCUUCGGGUGAGCGGCGGACGGGUUAGUAACGCGUGGGAACGUGCCCUUCUCUAAGGAAUAGCCUCGGGAAACUGAGAGUAAUACCUUAUACGCCCUUCGGGGGAAAGAUUUAUCGGAGAAGGAUCGGCCCGCGUUAGAUUAGAUAGUUGGUGGGGUAACGGCCUACCAAGUCUACGAUCUAUAGCUGGUUUGAGAGGAUGAUCAGCAACACUGGGACUGAGACACGGCCCAGACUCCUACGGGAGGCAGCAGUGGGGAAUCUUGGACAAUGGGCGCAAGCCUGAUCCAGCCAUGCCGCGUGAGUGACGAAGGCCUUAGGGUCGUAAAGCUCUUUCGCCUGUGAUGAUAAUGACAGUAGCAGGUAAAGAAACCCCGGCUAACUCCGUGCCAGCAGCCGCGGUAAUACGGAGGGGGUUAGCGUUGUUCGGAAUUACUGGGCGUAAAGCGCGCGUAGGCGGAUUAGAAAGUUGGGGGUGAAAUCCCGGGGCUCAACCUCGGAACUGCCUCC
rnacentral:rRNA from 1 species